rnacentral:rRNA from 1 species
CACGGGGGGAGCAAGCGUUGUUCGGAAUUACUGGGCGUAAAGGGCGUGUAGGCGGUCAGGUAAGUGGAAUGUGAAAGCCCCCGGCUCACCCGGGGAUCUGCAUCCCAAACUGCCUGGCUUGAGUACGGGAGAGGAUGAGGGAAUUCCUGGUGUAGCGGUGAAAUGCGUAGAUAUCAGGAGGAACACCGGUGGCGAAGGCGCUCAUCUGGCCCGAUACUGACGCUGAGGCGCGAAAGCUAGGGGAGCAAACGGG